UACGUAGGGGGCAAGCGUUGUCCGGAAUCAUUGGGCGUAAAGCGCGCGUAGGCGGCUAGAUCAGUCUGCUGUAAAAGUCAAAGGCUCAACCUUUGAAAGCCGGUGGAUACUGUCUAGCUAGAGUCCGGAAGAGGCGAGUGGAAUUCCUGGUGUAGCGGUGGAAUGCGCAGAUAUCAGGAGGAACACCAACGGCGAAGGCAGCUCGCUGGGACGGUACUGACGCUAAGGAGCGAAAGCGUGGGGAGCGAACAGG
rnacentral:rRNA from 1 species